UAGCCCGAUUGGUUAUAAGUGUAAAGUGGCAGACUUUUAACAAAAUUAUUGUUUGUUCCAUGAGAGGACAUGAAGGACCUCUCUGGCCAGUGCAGAAUUGUAAAGGACAUUGAGAUAAUAAAGCGGAACAAGGAGAUAUUGAAGUUGCUAGUGAAAAACCAAGGGAUUCAAGAAAUCAAUGUAUAGUAAUAAAGUCUAUCUUUUACAUGUACUAAUAUUAUAUAUAGUAGUUGUUCUUAAAUCACUUUGUGAUUUGAACUGUGAUAUUUUUUUUUAUCUAUUAUAUCAAUAAUUAGCAAUUAUAUUAUAUUUCUUAUUAAUAUUUUUAUUUUAUAUAUAUAUUUUUUUCUGUGGUGUAUCUUAUUACCGGCUGGCUUUUAAACAUUGAUAUAAAAUAAAUUGUUAUGGAUUUUUAUCUAAAUAUUGUGGCGUUUCAAAAAGAUCAUUUAAAGUUUAACAUAUGCUCGCAAACGUUAGUGAAUUUUAUUUGUUGGAGUUUACAAGAUGUCGGAAAAUAAUAGCUAGUGGUGUUUAUACAAUGCGCCGAUAACUUACUAGUAGCUGCGUUUAUCUAGACGCCAUUAAUUUAUACAAUAUGGCAACAUUGUACUAGUGAUGGUGUUUAAUUUGACCACAAAUGCUGGUAAUGGAUUUGUCUAUUUCCGGUGUUUGGACAAAAUCUGGCAUGCGUAAAUAGCAACCCUCCCAUACCAGUGUUUGGUUGUGUGGGUAAAAAGAUGCCGCUAAUCGAUUACCGGCAUUUAGUUUAACCAUUACUGGCACUUUUCAAACGGUGGCAAUGGACAUAAUAGCAAUAGCCAACAAAUUCACCAGCUUCUUCCAAAAUCUCCUCCAAAGUUCAAGCCCUUUGUUCCAUAUGAAAUAGAUUAUGGAUUGUAUGAGAUUCCGAUUGUAAGUUAAGAUAGAGGAAGGGGAAAUAUGGUCCUAAUUUUUAGUGAA